rnacentral:rRNA from 1 species
UACGUAGGGCGCAAGCGUUAUCCGGAAUUAUUGGGCGUAAAGAGCUCGUAGGCGGUUUGUCGCGUCUGCUGUGAAAAGACCGGGGCUCAACUCCGGUUCUGCAGUGGGUACGGGCAGACUAGAGUGCAGUAGGGGAGACUGGAAUUCCUGGUGUAGCGGUGAAAUGCGCAGAUAUCAGGAAGAACACCCGUGGCUAAGGCGGCUCUCUAGUACGGUACUGACGCUGAGACGCGAAAGCGUGGGGAGCGAACAGG